rnacentral:tRNA from 1 species
GGGCCGGUAGCUCAGUGGUAGAGCAGCACCCUUUUAAGGUGAAUGUCGUGGGUUCGACCCCCACCCGGCUCACCA